AUGAACGCUAGCUACAGGCUUAACCCAUGCAAGUCGAGGGGAAACGACAUCGAAAGCUUGCUUUUGAUGGGCGUCGACCGGCGCACGGGUGAGUAACGCGUAUCCAACCUGCCCAUCACUUGGGAAUAACCUUGCGAAAGUAAGACUAAUACCCAAUGACAUCCCACGAAGACAUCUGAAUGGGAUUAAAGAUUUAUCGGUGAUGGAUGGGGAUGCGUCUGAUUAGCUUGUUGGCGGGGUAACGGCCCACCAAGGCAACGAUCAGUAGGGGUUCUGAGAGGAAGGUCCCCCACAUUGGAACUGAGACACGGUCCAAACUCCUACGGGAGGCAGCAGUGAGGAAUAUUGGUCAAUGGGCGAGAGCCUGAACCAGCCAAGUAGCGUGCAGGAGGACGGCCCUAUGGGUUGUAAACUGCUUUUAGAAGGGAAUAAAGUGGGUCUCGGGAGACUUUUUGCAUGUACCUUAUGAAUAAGGACCGGCUAAUUCCGUG
rnacentral:rRNA from 1 species